CCCACGGCUCCGGGCUGGAGACCCAGAGGCCUCCUCCGCACCCCGACUCUCCCAGGGGACGCGGGGACACCAGGGUCCUGGGCUUCAAAGGCACUUUGGAGCGCACGGGGCCCGCGGGAUCCUGGGGAUGCCAGGCUCCCAUCCGGCGCCGAGGGGGACGGGCUCGCCCCCUUCCCGGGACGUGAGGUGAACGGCUGAGCCCCCGUCCUAGCUCAGAUGGGUUCCCUCGCCACCUUCCGGACGAAGUGUCAAGUACAAGUUCAAGUUCAGGGCCAGGCCCGGGGGGGCUCCGAGCCUUCCCCGGCUGCCUUUGUUCUUCAGGAUAAUCGCUCCCAAGUCCCCUCCGGGCGGGGCCCGGCAGACGCCCCCGCCCCGCCCCACCGCGCCCCGCGGGAGCCGCCUCCUCCCGCCCGCGCGGCGCCUGUCCCCUGGUCCCGGCGCCCCCGCUCGGGGCCACCGUAGGGUCUGGGGGCUCGGGGCGGGGGGAGGCGCGAGCCGCGUCCGUGGGAGCCUCCCCAGCCCCGCAGUCCCAGCAGCAAAGCAAGCUUGGUCGGACGGACGCUCGCGCUGAGAUUUGUAUCCAUUUCUCAGAGAGAGAGCUAGAGCGAGAGCGAGCCCUUGCAGGGGGUGGCAGAGGGAGAGGAAGAAGCAGACUCCCCGCUGAGCAGGGAGCUGGAUGGGGAGGCGGAGCUCGAGGAUCCCAGGACCCAGAAUCACACCCAGACCUCAAGGCAGACACUCAACCGACUGAGCCAUCCACGUGCUGCCCCAAGCACCUCGUUUUAAUAGCAGGAAACUGAGGUCCAGGAACAGUGGGACUCUCUGCUUCCUCCGCUUCUCCAACCAGCUCUGCAAAGCCACGACUCCUAAUCAGGCCCUUACUGCCACCUCUGCGCAGACCCGGGAAGAGGUAAAGCCCGGAUCCCCCUUAGCCUGAGGUGGCGCGCCACGUCGGAACUGGCCUUGAUCAUGAUAUUCCUGAUUCUGCGGCUGGCCGCACCACGUUUUCUCCAACACCGCCAGGUGAUGGGUCCGCACCGGGGAGAACAGCUAAUUCGAUGAGCCCUGAAAGGUGAUUCAUUCCGUGGCUCCAAAUUCAAUAUGAACAAAAUGCACACAAUAUCGCUGGCGCGGGAGGGAGGUGCUCCGGAGCCACGGAGGAGCAAUUCAACCUUCCCAGCUGUCUCUCUCGUUCCAGGCCGCCUCCCGGCCUGUCCAGACGCCGCCUGCCUCGGAGAACGCAGCCCCACUCCACCGCGCCUGGGGCCUGGCUUGGGGGCACCGGCGAGUCUGCCUCCGAGCCUGACCCUGGUGUGGAAGCCCAGCCUCUGGCUCUUGGAAACUUCUAGAAAAGCAGAUCACGUUUGGCAAGCACCUCUUACGUGUCCAGCCCGUUAGGACUAAGAUCUCAUUCAAUGUUCACAGCAAGGAGAUGUGAAAGAGCCCGGUUUCCAUAGAGGGACAAAGGAGGUGCAUAUUCACCGAAGCGGUGAGUGGGCCUGCCACAAUCUCAAACAAGGACAGGCUGAUGCUGAAGGGAGGCUUGAUUUACUGCCCCCUGGGACGGACAGGCGGGCACGGGACACCUUACUAAACACACAGGCACAGCGCGUGCACACACACACACACACACACACACUCACGUACACACAAUUCCUCCACAGUGGGCGAAGUUCUCUCUGGGUUGAUGGUCUUUAAGCCAUCCUGGCAAAUAAGCACUUAUAUAUGGGCCCACAGAAGUGUUUUCCAAGCCUUUCCUCCCUUUGGGCCAUACACAGACGGACAACGUGAUCUGGGGAUGGUACAGCCUGAGAGCUAGCAGAGGACCUGGAACCUCGUGUGUCUGUACCCCUCACCUUACUUACUUACUUACUUCGGCCACUGCCCCAGCACCCCAGGGCUCAGAGGUGAGGGAAUCUGGCGGGGAUCACAAACCGUAUACACAGAGAGGGCUUAGCAGUAGGCCAGGCCUCUCGCAGGUGCUCAUAGUGUUGAAAGAGUCAACGGGCAGAUUUCUUCCUUAAGGGCUUUGCUGAAGCAUUUCUCCAACGGAUUUGUGCGAUUUGCGCGUGUGUGUGCUGGUGGCGGUUGGGGGCGGGGGAGCAGGCUGAGAAGAGGCACGAGAGAGAGAACAGACUCGAUGAACUAGUGUGCCGUGUGUGUUUGGACAAGAUCGCUGCACAGGGCACUGGGCUGGGGAGGCUGAAAGGCCCACGAACUCCUGGUGAAGCGGAGACGCGUGCAUGGAAAUCGCUAGCGACCCCUCCUUGUUAAGAUCUGGUGGGUAGGCGAUGACACCAGCCCCACGGAAGGCGAUUUGGCAAGAUAUGGGGAAAUGGCAAGUUGCAUAUAAGCUUUCGUCCCACAAUCCCCUUCUGCGAAUUUAUCUCACGGACACACACACUCACACUUGUGAGAAUGGACUCACACACUCGUAGUGACAUUUGCAAAAGUGAAAGGUUGAAACAGAGCAAAUGGACCCUUGAGAGAGGACCUCUUACGUGAUCCCAUGAAGCUGAGUAAAAUGCGGGAGAAAAUAAGAAUACAGAUUUGUAGGGGCGCCUGGGUGGCUCAGUGGGUUAAAGCCUCUGUUUUCGGCUCAGGUCAUGGUCCCAGGGUCCUGGGAUCGAGCCCCGCAUCGGGCUCUCUGCUCAGCAGGGAGCCUGCUUCCCUUCCUCUCUCUCUGCCUGCCUCUCUGCCUGCUUG